GGAGCCCUGACGGUCACUCUCCCGCUCCUCAUGGCCUGGUCUGGAGGUGCUGAAGUCGGGAAAAGACCUGGUCAGCUUCUCACUGAAGUACCUCUGAACCUCAUCCAGCUCACUCAAGUUCUUCCUGCAAGCAGUGGGAUCCCUGGAAUCUCCGUGGGCUCCCCUCUGCCCGCUGCAGGGACUCGUGGAAGCGGCGCACGUUCUGCAUGUGCUCCUCGUGCCGGGGGGGCUGUGUGCCAGCGGGGCCCAUCCUGCUGGAAACAACCCAAAAUCCAGCCUGGAACCCCUCACUGUGCAAAGUCUGCCACCUGAGAACAGCCUGUGUCCUGAAAUCCACUAAAGAGCCACCCAUGGGUGAAACGAGUUCCUCCAAAUGUGCACAGGAAUGGCAUUUGCUGCCUCAGGUUUAUGCCAAAGUCAAGGUAACAGUGGGGCUGGCAGGCAGCUCCCAAGCCCGUUGUUCAGAGCCCAGAGAGGUGGCACCCAGUCCCUCCAAACUUCAAAGACACAUAUGGGAAGAGGAUCAUCUCUGCAGGCUAAACAAAGAAAUAAUAAACUAAGACACUCUGGCUCAUCUGAAGGGACAGAAAGCAGGAAUUGCUGCAGGAUGUCUGACAGUCCUGCUCCUGUAACAUGCAAUAUUGCAGCGUUUCACCAGCUGCCAUUCACUGGUCAUGGGCAGAAAUUAGGGCAAAAUAAAGGGGAGGCAUCAGGAAUACUCUAUCUAAUUUACACUUACUAAAAAUAAAACCAAAUACAGACACAACCCUCAUUCUUAUCAGGGCCUGGAGAAAGUACCUGCCAGCUUUAACAAGGGCACCUUUUUACCAACGGUAAAUAAAUUAUGAUUUAUUUAUUUACCAUUUACCAAUGGCAAAUAAAUCCUUCUGUACCAGGGUGCAAAUCAGGAAGUAUCAAUGACAAGAAAAAGAACAUCUGGGCUGUGCCAAAAGGAACCUGUCCCAGGACUGCUUCCUCCUGCACCUCUUUCUCACUGGGAAAGGCAAUGCCCACUAAUUUUUAAGCCCAAACACAGUGGGCACACUUUGACAGGGUGUACCAUUUCUCCAGUAGAGCCAAUUUGCUUUAGAGAGGCAUUUCUGAGACCUGAAAAUAACCAAAAAGUUGUCAGCCUCUCUGCCUGAGGACUUACUGCUCUCGAGCAGGAACGCUGACUUCCUUUGACAAGGAGUUCAACAUCUGCUUGGACAAGUGUGCAGAAUUACUGGGACAUGCUGGAAAGCUGACCUUCACCUGGGAUGGACAGGAAAAAGGAACACUCUGCGUGAGUCUUUCACAAUAAGAAAAUAAGAGAAAUCAAAGUAUUACCCUGCUGAUCCUAACAAAACCUCAGGCUUUCUAAAGAGCUUUAAAUUUUCAAAUGAUUUCCCAGCACUGAGCCAAAGUACUAUUUCACAACACUUUCAUUUCAGACACUUUUGCUAACUCUCUCCAUGCUAUCAGAGAGUAAAGUGAUGUAAAGUAAGAUAAAGGCUGCCUUACAGGUCUAUAACACACCAAAGCAUAUCCGGGGAGUUUAGAGAAUAGAGAAAAACCCAGUAAAAAAGGCAAAUAUCCCAGAAAAACAGAUUCUUGCCAAAUCAGAUGUUUCCUAACCAACGAAAAGUUGAAUCUACUGUAUGUUUUUGGGUACCAGCUGUCACCCAAAGCAGCCAACAGAUCUAAGCCAUGCUCCCAGACAUCCAAAUGCACAGAAUAGUCUCCUAAAGAAAAUGAAGCAACCACAGAGUGAAGCCAAGGGGAUGCUCAUGACCUGCUUGAGGUGCUGUAACUAGCACUGGCCAGCAGCUACCAUGGAAACCUGGAGCAGAAUUCCUGAGGAAUUAGGUGGUUUUUAAGCAGACUGGUCCAUGAGGGCGCUGUGAAUUGUCUCAGGAGCCCAGAGUGCUGGGUGUCAGCAAUGCAGUGAGGUGUGAGGGGGCAGGAGAUGGAGGAACGUACGGCAGAGCUCUCCGGCUGGCCGCGGGCCCUGGCCUGCCGCUCCUCCCUCAGGCUGCUGAUGCUCUGCAGAGGGGACACGGCCACCUUGAUCUGCCCCCGGCACUGCCCGCUGAAGUCGGUGAUGUUGUACCAGCCACACACCAGCUGGAAGCCCGAGAGCAGCGGGGAGAGAUCCACGGCCGCAAACCCGAUCACGCGCUCCGACUCUGGGGAGGAAGGACACGAGCACACUGACAUCAGUCAUUUCAGGAACGCUAAAACACAGCCCUGGAAACAUGGCCCGGAGGCGCACAACAUCCUGUCCAACAGGGGAACACUGUCUGGAUGACCUGGGUUUUGUUCAGCUAAAAAUGUCCCUGCAGAGCAGAGAAAGCCCAGGGCAGGGAGAGGGACGGGCAGGAGAAGCACUGUGAGCGCACAGUGCUCUGCGUACACAGGAAGGUUAUUCUGGAAGCAAAACCAAACAGCACGAGAAGGAAGCAGAAACACCAUGUCCUCUUCCUGUGGCUGGCCAUUGGUGAUCCCUGAACCUUCAACAUCCACCUGCUGUUUGUCAGAGAGCUGCUGGCCCCGAGCAGGGCUGUCCCCUGUGCCUCCACCUUCGCUGCUGCUGCUGC